UACGUAGGGUGCGAGCGUUGUCCGGAUUUAUUGGGCGUAAAGCGCACGUAGGCGGUUCGUUAUGUCGGAUGUGAAAGCCCUUGGCUUAACCGAGGAAGUGCAUCCGAAACUGGCGAGCUAGAGUACGAAAGAGGAUCGCGGAAUUCCCGGUGUAGAGGUGAAAUUCGUAGAUAUCGGGAGGAACACCGGUGGCGAAGGCGGCGAUCUGGGUCGAUACUGACGCUGAGGUGCGAAAGCGUGGGGAGCAAACAGG
rnacentral:rRNA from 1 species